rnacentral:ncRNA from 12 species
CACUACCAAUUUGUGAGAGUCAUGAUCUGAAAAUAUCAUGAGAGGGCAAAGGUAGUUCAGUCUUAUUCCUGUGAUCUUGGUGACAAGCUCCAAAAAUCAAAACCAGUCAAGUUGCUUAGUAGUGAAAACGAAAAGUUGCUUGAUUG